AAAGUGUUUGUCAAUAUGUGGUCCUGUGACAGAGUGGUAUCGUGUCUAGGGUGUACCUUGCCUCAUGCCCUGUGACUGCUGGGAUAGGCUCCAG